CCUACGGGUGGCAGCAGUGAGGAAUAUUGGUCAAUGGACUCAAGCCUGAACCAGCCAUGCCGCGUGCAGGAAGACUGCCCUAUGAGUUGUAAACUUCUUUUGUACGAGAGUAAACGCAGAUACGCGUAGCUGUCUUAAAGUAUCGUACAAAUAAGGAUCCGCGAACUCCGGUCCAGGCGGCGCGGUUAUACGGAGGAUUCAAAGGUUUUCCGGGUUUAUUGGGUUUAAAGGGGUCGUAGGCGGUAGUAUCAGUUCGGGGUGAAAUCCCGGGGGUGAAACUUCGAAUUGCCGUUGAUACUGGCCGGCUAGAGAGUAGUUGAGGUAGGCGGAAUGUAUGGUGUAGCGGUGAAAUGCAUAGAGAUCACACAGAACACCGAUUGCGAAGGCAGCUUACCGAGCUACUACUGACGUUGAGGCACGAAAGCGUGGGGAGCAAACAGGAUUAGAUACCCUAGUAGUC
rnacentral:rRNA from 1 species